CGGUUUUUGGUUUGAAAAUAAAAAUGCUAAACGGCGUCGUUUUGGGAGUUUAAAAAAAAAAAAGAAAAAAGGGGCUAAACGCCUAAACGAGUAAACGAAGCCCUAAAUCCCUAAUGUUCACAGAAAUCACCCAGAUCCCAGAACUCCAGAAGCCAGAAGAGAAGAAGAAUCACUGAAAAAGCAGUUCACCACCCACAGUUCCACCGCCAUCGCCACCGCAUCCCGCAACGACAGCAGCGACGGCGUUGACCACGGCAACCACCACCGCGUCCUGUUUCGUCGCCGAACUCGCCCCCUGUUGCGUUGUCGCCGAGCUCGCCUCCUGUUGCGUCGUCGCCGAGCUCGCCUCCUCUUCCGUCGUCGCCGUUACUCGCCGCCGAUGGAACAAUCACAAAGUAACCCACAGCCACAAGAUAAUGCUGAGAAGUGAUUGAGCAAUCUGGAGCAGUUCUUGCAGGCGAUCACGCCCUCUGUGCUUGCUCAGUAUCUUUCUAUGGUUAGUUUUUAGUAACUAGCUGGCAAGUUUUGGCUGGAAUUUUUAAUAGUUGUGGCUGGGUUAGGGAAGAAAUCGUUUCUUUAACUAAGUUAUGUAAUUUAUUGUAGUAUUGUCAUUGUUUGUAACGGAUAGAUUUAAUGGCUGGUGUGACAAUAAGGAGUAACAUUUUGAAGGUCUGAAUAGGAUCAA